UUUUUUUCUAGUUACUUAGAUUUGUGGAGCUCUAAUUUGAUUGUGGGCAUCCUUUAUAAGGCUUGUUCCACCUUCUCCUGUGGAGCUAUACCAGCUGUGACUCCUGUUUUAAGAACUAUGUUCUCUUCUCUGUUGCAGACCUAUGUUAUAUCUGCCUUAGUGCAUGGGCUGCUGGUCAAUGCUAAUAGCUGGCUCUCAGGGAAGAAAGAAAAACCAUCUGUGGCAUCUGCCAAUUUCUGUGGUGUAAAUACUCUGAGCUCUGCCAAUUUCAAGCCAUCCAUCUGACAUUGCUGAACCCAAAGUUGGCAAGGGAUGUGCACAAUUGCCUUUUGCAAGCAAGCUUCUGCAAAAGACUUGAGACAGCUCACAAUGAAGUACUCUGUAUUAGGCAGGGUAAUAUUGAUUGCAAGUGACAGAAACCCAAUCAGAAACUCACUGGAGUCAUGAGGAACACUUAUUGGCUCAGAGUAAAGGCAUGGACCUUCAGAGAAAUAAAGUCUGGGAAAUUGACUAGAUCCUCACUGAAAGAACUACUAAAGGAUGUACUUAUGGAAGAAGAAAAUUACAAAGUGAAAGAACUGGGAUGCAAGAAGUAAUGGUGAGCAUGGAAUUUGGCAAAGAUUCAAGUAAAACAAAGCAAGGAGU
rnacentral:antisense_RNA from 1 species